ACCAAAAGUUCUUUGGAAACGUGGAUUAUAUCAUGUCUUGCUUAUCCCAGGACACCCAAUGCUUGGUACAGUGCUGGACAACCCCAGCCAUGGAACAUAGAACAUGUUUGUGGCAGAGACCCAAAUCUUUAUCUCAGGGUCGAAAGCAGUUGCCUUGGUCUGGUGGAAGUAUCUUGCUCAGAGGAAUGGCACAAGAAUAGAAGACUCAGAAAAGUAAGGGACCAAGGGCCAGCUUAUGGCUUAAAGGAGCAACAGAAUAUAAUUGGACCAGGUGCACUGUGGAGUGGAGUUGGCUGUAUUUAUAACAGGCAUCUGAGGAAAGGAAAAGAUGUUACAGGUUGUUGGAAAGAUGAUGAAGACUUUAUGGAGAGGUUUUUUGACCACGAAGCAUGUGGGAUCUUAACUCCCCAACCAGGGAUC